UACGGGGGGAGCAAGCGUUGUUCGGAUUUACUGGGCGUAAAGGGCGCGUAGGCGGCACCGCAAGUCGACUGUGAAAUCUCCGGGCUUAACCCGGAAAGGUCAGCCGAUACUGCGGGGCUAGAGUGCAGAAGGGGCAACUGGAAUUCUCGGUGUAGCGGUGAAAUGCGUAGAUAUCGAGAGGAACACCAGCGGCGAAGGCGGGUUGCUGGGCUGACACUGACGCUGAUGCGCGAAAGCUAGGGGAGCGAACGGG
rnacentral:rRNA from 1 species